rnacentral:rRNA from 1 species
UACGUAGGGGGCAAGCGUUGUCCGGAAUCAUUGGGCGUAAAGCGCGUGUAGGCGGCUGAGUAAGUCUGCUCUGAAAGCCCGGGGCUCAACCCCGGGAGGCGGGUGGAUACUGCUCAGCUCGAGUCCGGAAGAGGAGUGUGGAAUUCCUGGUAUAGCGGUGAAAUGCGCAGAUAUCAGGAGGAACACCAAUGGCGAAGGCAGCACUCUGGGACGGUACUGACGCUGAGACGCGAAAGCGUGGGGAGCAAACAGG